rnacentral:rRNA from 1 species
AUUGAACGCUGGCGGCAUGCUUUACACAUGCAAGUCGAACGGUAACAGGCCGCCAGGUGCUGACGAGUGGCGAACGGGUGAGUAAUGCAUCGGAACGUGCCCAGUCGUGGGGGAUAACUACUCGAAAGAGUAGCUAAUACCGCAUACGAUCUAUGGAUGAAAGCGGGGGACCGUAAGGCCUCGCGCGAUUGGAGCGGCCGAUGUCAGAUUAGGUAGUUGGUGGGGUAAAGGCUCACCAAGCCAACGAUCUGUAGCUGGUCUGAGAGGACGACCAGCCACACUGGGACUGAGACACGGCCCAGACUCCUACGGGAGGCAGCAGUGGGGAAUUUUGGACAAGGGGCGCAAGCCUGAUCCAGCAAUGCCGCGUGCAGGAAGAAGGCCUUCGGGUUGUAAACUGCUUUUGUACGGAACGAAACGGCUCUGGUUAAUACCCGGGGCUAAUGACGGUACCGUAAGAAUAAGCACCGGCUAACUACGU